rnacentral:rRNA from 1 species
UACGUAGGGAGCGAGCGUUGUCCGGAAUUACUGGGUGUAAAGGGAGCGUAGGCGGGCGAGAAAGUUGAAUGUUAAAUCUACCGGCUUAACUGGUAGCUGCGUUCAAAAUUUCUUGUCUUGAGUGAAGUAGAGGCAGGCGGAAUUCCUAGUGUAGCGGUGAAAUGCGUAGAUAUUAGGAGGAACACCAGUGGCGAAGGCGGCCUGCUGGGCUUUAACUGACGCUGAGGCUCGAAAGCGUGGGGAGCAAACAGG